rnacentral:rRNA from 1 species
CCUACGGGAGGCAGCAGUAAGGAAUAUUGGUCAAUGGACGCAAGUCUGAACCAGCCAUGCCGCGUGAAGGAUGAAUGCCCUCUGGGUUGUAAACUUCUUUUAUAGGGGACGAAAAAGGGUCUUUUAGAUCAACUGACGGUACCCUAGGAAUAAGCACCGGCUAACUCCGUGCCAGCAGCCGCGGUAAUACGGAGGGUGCAAGCGUUAUCCGGAUUUACUGGGUUUAAAGGGUGCGUAGGUGGGUUGGUAAGUCAGCGGUGAAAUCUUCGAGCUUAACUCGGAAACUGCCAUUGAUACUAUCAGCCUUGAAUAUCCUGGAGGUGAGCGGAAUAUGUCAUGUAGCGGUGAAAUGCUUAGAUAUGACAUAGAACACCAAUUGCGAAGGCAGCUCACUACGGGAUUAUUGACACUGAGGCACGAAAGCGUGGGGAUCAAACAGGAUUAGAUACCCUGGUAGUCCACGCCCUAAACGAUGGAUACUCGACAUUUGCGAUAUACAGUAAGUGUCUGAGCGAAAGCAUUAAGUAUCCCACCUGGAAGUACGAUCGCAAGAUUGAAACUCAAAGGAAUUGACGGCUGAGAGAGCGAGACGACACGAGGGAGGAGG